rnacentral:rRNA from 1 species
UACGUAGGGUGCGAGCGUUAAUCGGAAUUACUGGGCGUAAAGCGUGCGCAGGCGGUUUUGUAAGCCAGGUGUGAAAUCCCCGGGCUCAACCUGGGAAUGGCAUUUGGGACUGCAAGGCUGGAGUGCGGCAGAGGAGACUGGAAUUCCUGGUGUAGCAGUGAAAUGCGUAGAUAUCAGGAGGAAUACCGAUGGCGAAGGCAGGUCUCUGGGCUGACACUGACGCUCAUGCACGGAAGCGUGGGGAGCAAACAGGAUAGAU